rnacentral:rRNA from 1 species
ACGCUGGCGGCGUGCCUAAUACAUGCAAGUCGAGCGAACAGACGAGGAGCUUGCUCCUCUGACGUUAGCGGCGGACGGGUGAGUAACACGUGGAUAACCUACCUAUAAGACUGGGAUAACUUCGGGAAACCGGAGCUAAUACCGGAUAAUAUAUUGAACCGCAUGGUUCAAUAGUGAAAGACGGUUUUGCUGUCACUUAUAGAUGGAUCCGCGCCGCAUUAGCUAGUUGGUAAGGUAACGGCUUACCAAGGCAACGAUGCGUAGCCGACCUGAGAGGGUGAUCGGCCACACUGGAACUGAGACACGGUCCAGACUCCUACGGGAGGCAGCAGUAGGGAAUCUUCCGCAAUGGGCGAAAGCCUGACGGAGCAACGCCGCGUGAGUGAUGAAGGUCUUCGGAUCGUAAAACUCUGUUAUUAGGGAAGAACAAAUGUGUAAGUAACUAUGCACGUCUUGACGGUACCUAAUCAGAAAGCCACGGCUAACUACGUGCCAGCAGCCGCGGUAAUACGUAGGUGGCAAGCGUUAUCCGGAAUUAUUGGGCGUAAAGCGCGCGUAGGCGGUUUUUUAAGUCUGAUGUGAAAGCCCACGGCUCAACCGUGGAGGGUCAUUGGAAACUGGAAAACUUGAGUGCAGAAGAGGAAAGUGGAAUUCCAUGUGUAGCGGUGAAAUGCGCAGAGAUAUGGAGGAACACCAGUGGCGAAGGCGACUUUCUGGUCUGUAACUGACGCUGAUGUGCGAAAGCGUGGGGAUCAAACAGGAUUAGAUACCCUGGUAGUCCACGCCGUAAACGAUGAGUGCUAAGUGUUAGGGGGUUUCCGCCCCUUAGUGCUGCAGCUAACGCAUUAAGCACUCCGCCUGGGGAGUACGACCGCAAGGUUGAAAC